UGCAAAAGUUUGCCGGCUUCCGCGGUGAUGGAUCACCAUUUCAGUGGCAUUUAAAUCCCCGGCGUUCCUCCGUCUAGGUGACGCGCAGUCGCCCCCCCAGGCAGCCCAGGCGGCGGUAGCUGCGGCGACGACUGCAAAGGCCGAUUCGGAGUGCUGUGGCGAAGGAGAGCAGAGGCUGCCUUCUGCGCGCGCCCGACUCCGCUGCUCCCUCCCUCCCCCUCCGGCCUCCGGGAGGUGGGGGCUGGGAGGCGUCCCCCGCCCUCGUCCCCUCCUCCUCCCCACCGUGUACUGAAAGAUGAACUGGCGAGAGAAAGCGUUUGAUUUAUGAGCGUAGGACGAAUCGCAUCCAGGAGCUGCGCAGCCCUGGCUGAGGCCGGGACGCCCUGCUCCUCGCUGAGUUUGGGGCCGGAAACCAGCCAUAGUCCCUACACUCCGCCGCCGCCGCCGCCGCCGCCGCCGCCGCCGCCGCCGCAGCUGGGAUUUAGUGGAGGAAGGGGUAAGGGAAGGCAGGGAGCAAAUCUAUGAAGAAACAUCGCGUUUUCAUUGGAACUUUCAAGCCUUUGCUGAUAAAGAGCUGGGUUCUUAAAUCAACCCGCCCCACACGCAUGUUGCUUACAUGCUGCAUUUUCUCACGGUCUGUUUUGCCAGAACCCAUCAACAGCUGGGAGAUUUAUCAACCACACUGAAAAUGUGGAGGGAUAUAUGGGGGAGGGGAUUGACGUGUAGAUGUUUGAAACAAAAAUGUAUAAAUAAAUGAAUUGUUGAUAACGUAGUUAUUGGCCUGGAGACUGGUAGCUUAUUGAAGAAACUCCAUGUUACUCGUUCCUGGAGUUGGGGGUUUCUGUAGGCACUUUAAUUCUCCACUUUCAAGAGCUUAGGCUUGGCCCAAAUCUUAGACUGCCCAAUCCUGUCUCUAUUACCAAUUUAAAUCUAUGGCUGUGCAUUGAAAAUCAGAUCUAUUCCCUUUAAAAAGAAAGAGGAGAAGAAGAAGCAAAAAAGCAAAAACCACUUAUUAGAAGCCCUAGCCAUUUUUUUGUUUUCUGUUUUGUUGCUGUCCAUUGAAGACUUUGAACAUGCCACCUUAAUAAAUGUAUUAAAAUUGAAAAAAGAA